UUCAUUAUUAUCAUCAGUGUAUCAGUCAGUGUACAUGUACAUGUGUAUAUGUCCGUUUUAGUACGAGGGUCGUUUUGUUUGAAGCCGUUUUGUUCUGAAUAACGUUCGCCUGAAAUCUGAAUCUCUCCCUGGUUGACUAGUAUUCUCCAGGAUCUCUUUGAUUUUGUCACUUGGAUGUAUUAACAUGCUUUUUCGAUGUCUCGUCAUCCCACAUUAUUCGGUCUUGUGGCGUGGUUUUAUUUGUAUGGUGCAGUGCAAAUUAUUUCGUUGUCUCCGUUUUGAUGCAUAAAUUGUCAUUCUGGUUCUCUAUGGUCGAACAUUCCCUCUCUUUUUUAGACUCUCAAUUCUUGUAUUUUCUUGCAAAAUAAUGUGCUUGUUGUAAUUUAUGUUACGAAUACGAGUUUCCAAUAAACUUUGCAAUUUAUAAGUAUCCAUUGAGUCUGUCCAGCUCAGCUGAGAACGGAGAUAGGGUCAUCAUAGGUGUUACCCGUGCCCACGUUAGCAAUGAUAGAGAACUGUGUGUACAUGUGUUGUGUUUUUUAUAAAAUUAAAAUUGUACUGUCAAAUUAUUCUCCCUUUUUGGGUAAAUUUUACUUGUUAGUCUUGUGGAGACUGUGAAGCUGUGUCGCCAGUGAGUCCCACGUAUAUAGUGUUACACGUUACAGCAGUUGCCACCUGCAUCUGCACGGUUGAGUGACAGCUAGGUUCAAACACUGACACAUAGGGCCAGUCUUUCUGACCUAUGGAGUUAAUAGCUUGACUUAAAGAAUGCGUGACAAAUUGGAGAUGACCUAACAUGUCAGAUGGGUAAUUAAUCUUCAGUUGUUUUAGCCUAUUUUGGGCGGGCUGAUUCAAGUCAAGUAUGAAAUGUUCAUAAUUGCACAAUGAUUGCAUCAGGUACAUUAUAUGUCAAAUAGCAUGAAUUAGACAUGCGAUGUAAUCUUAGCCAAUGCUUCGUCAUUCAUAAUCAUCUGAGAGACUUUCAUUAAUGUCAAAAUACAAUUUUUUUGACGUUCACGACAAACACCCUCAAAUAAACAAACAAUACAAUAAACCCUCGUAUUUCUUCUGCAGGCUGUGAUCUUCCCCACCAACCUCUGCUUGGAGAGCACAGAUCGUUCACGUCAAGCCGCCGCCGGACGCACCCUCAUCCGGUCCCGGUAGAGCUGUGGGCAGGGGCCAGGAAGUGAACCUGCGCAGUGUGCCUGUGUACAUACAGCGACCCUCGGCCAAGAAUGGUCAUAACGGGGCACACGACAGCCAACGGGCACCGUCUCUUCCGUUCCUGACCCGGGGAAGCUGACCACUGAUGGACCUGACAUGUCAGCCACCCAUCCAUCUGGCCAGGGAUGUACUUCCCCGGGCACUUUCUCUUCUUCUCUUGCAUUAGGGAGCAGACCGUCCACGUCAAGCCACCGCCGGACACACGCUCAUUCCCCGAAACAACCAACGUCUGCAUCCCCAGCCCUGAGACAUCCAUCCCCGGUCCUGGGAGAGCUGUGAGGCCAGUCACACCGCCUGAGACCGACGUGACGGCAGUUCCUGGCACAGCCGAUGCGACGAAGCCAAUGUGAACGUGCUUUUCGAUGUCCGGUAGAGGGACGCAAAAGACAAUAGAGGAUGCAUGAUCGAUACCAAAUGUCAUAAUGUAUGAAGACAUUAGCCAGAGGACCACCCUUUGACCAAAUUGUUUGAUUGUCUGGAUCCAUCAUAUGUCCUAACUACAAGGACAGUAACGACAAAACAAUUGAGCAUACAGAACGACAGUCAUUGUAACAUUGUAGUAGUUCAAUUGUAUUGUCCCUUAUUUUAUUACACUGGGCUUCUCCAGUAGCCAGGCUUUGAGACUGGAGAAUGAUAGACAGUCUAUAUUGUAAUCGAAACUGAUUGCUGUUAUUUGGUACAUCCAGUUAUCAAACUAACGAGUACAACGGCCAUAUAAGAUUUGUUCAAUGAUUCACUGCUAUACAAUAAUCUCUUAAAUACAAGGGAGGCAUGUAUGGUAUUUAUAGCAGGACAUCUGCAUAGUUUUUGUACAAUAUCCAAUGAUCAUAUGCAACAGGAGUUCCCUGGCUGUACAGCUGUAAUAGAUGACCUAGUACAGGUGUCUCCCACUGCAAGGUCAGAGGUCAAGUCUAAAAGUCUU